AAGGAGAGGAAGGGGCGGUUAGUGGCCCACGCUCUCUCGCCGCUUCUGAGCUUUUCCCGCUCAAAGUAAAUGUGUUCGGGAUUGGCCCGGACUGGCAGGCACCGGCCCGAUGAUUUGCUGAUAGGACAGCGGAGAGGCAGAUCGUGGAUGGUUGAAAGAGCGAAAGAGCGCAGCCCUACCGGGUGGGAGAGGUGUUGGAGGCACUUGGAAGAUUUGAGAAGUCGCUCAGCAACUGGCUUAUCAUCCAAAACCUAGCCGUUGCACACAUUUCAUUUGUCCGACAUUUCAUAUUUGUCCCUUAGUCCCUCCCGUAUCUCUCAGAAUCCGUUGGAGCUGCCCAGAGACUAAUAUCUUGUGCCGGUUUGGGGAGGGCGAGGAGCAACUUGUGGAUUGGGUGUUGCUGGGAGACCCCUUUUUGAGGGAGAGCUGCCCUGUGUCCUAAGCCCGGGCUUUCAGUCGGGGUUAAGGCAUUUGAGUGUUAAUGUGACUUUUGAACAAAGUUCGCUGUGACCUUUUUGUUCGUUUUUGUUUGUCUGUGUAAAACAGGGUCUUGCUCUGUCGCCCAGGCUGGAGUGCAGUGGCGCUAUCAUAGCUCAUUGCAGCCUUGAACACCCGGGUUCAAGCGACCCUCCCGCCUCAGCCUCCCGAGUAGCUGGGGCUGCAGGCACGCGGAGCCACCACUCCUGGCUAAUUUUUAAAAUUUUUUGUAAAGCUGAAGGGCGGGGGGGUUGGGUCUCCUUAUGUUGCCCAGGCUGGUCUGAAACUCCUGGUCUCGAGUGAUCCUCCCGCCUCAGUCUCCCGAGUAGUUGGGGCUACAGGCGUGUGCCACCACUCCUAGCUAAUUUUUUUUUUUUUUUUGGUGAGACGGAGUCUCUCUGUCGCCAGGCUAGAGUGCAGUGGCGCAAAGGCUCACUGCAACCUCCACCUCCCGGGUUCAAGCGAUUCUCCCGCCUCAGCCUCCCGAGUAGCUAGGACUACAGGCCCACGCCACCACGCCCUGCUAAUUUUUGUAUUUUUAGUAGAGACGGGAAUUUCACCAUGUUGUCCAGGAUGGUCUCGAUCUCUUGACCUCGUGAUCCGCCCGCCUCGGCCUCCCAAAAUUCUGGGAUUACAGGCGUGAGCCACUACGCCUGGCUCCAGCUAAUUUUUAAAUUUUUUUGUAGAGCUGGGGUUGGAGGUGGGGAUGGGGGUGGGGGGUUGGAUCUCCUUAUGUUGCUCAGGCUGGUCUUGAACUGAACUCUUGGCCUGAAGUGAUCCUCCGCCUCGGCCUCCCAAAGUGUGGGAUUACAGGGUCUUGCUCUGUCACCUAGGCUGGCAUGCAGUGGUGUGAUCACAGCUCACUGGAGCCUCGACCUCCUGGGAUCAAGCGAUUCUCCCACCUCAACCUUUGAACUUCUAGAUAAGUGGUUCUCAAAGUGUGGUCCUUCAACCAACAGCAUCAUCACCACCCAGGAACUUAUUAGAAAUGGAAGUUCUUGCACCCUGCCAAAACCAGAAACUCUGCUGAUGGGUCCCAGCAAUCUUUAUUUUAACGACUGUUAAAAUCAGAAUCAAGUGAUUCUGAUGCAAACUUAAGUUUGAAAACAUUGUUCUAUUAAAAGUAAUGGCAAAAACCACAAUUACUUUUGCACCAACCUAAGAGCUCUGCACUGUUCAAUAUGGUAGCCUCUAACUAUUGAACUUUUUUAAUGCUAUUAUCUCCUUUAUUCAAAAAUAAAUAUUUCACUUUGAUUCAA